rnacentral:rRNA from 1 species
CCUACGGGAGGCAGCAGUGAGGAAUCUUCCACAAUGGGCGAAAGCCUGAUGGAGCAACGCCGCGUGAAGGAUGAAGGCCUUCGGGUUGUAAACUUCUUUUAUGAGUGAAGAAUAUGACGGUAACUCAUGAAUAAGCACCGGCUAACUACGUGCCAGCAGCCGCGGUCAUACGUAGGGUGCAAGCAUUAUCCGGAGUGACUGGGCGUAAAGAGUUGCGUAGGCGGUUUAAUAAGUGAAUAGUGAAACCUGGUGGCUCAACCAUACAGACUAUUAUUCAAACUGUUAAACUCGAGAGUGGUAGAGGUAACUGGAAUUUCUAGUGUAGGAGUGAAAUCCGUAGAUAUUAGAAGGAACACCAAUGGCGUAGGCAGGUUACUGGACCAUUUCUGACGCUAAGGCACGAAAGCGUGGGGAGCGAACUGGAUUAGAUACCCGAGUAGUC